AUUGAACGCUAGCGGGAUGCCUUACACAUGCAAGUCGAACGGAGUGGCGACCGGGUGAGUAAUGUAUCGGAACGUGCCCAGUCGCGGGGGAUAACUACGCGAAAGCGUCGCUAAUACCGCAUACUAUUGGAGCGGCCGAUAUCGGAUUAGCUAGUUGGUGGGUUAACGGCUAACCAAGGCGACGCUCCGUAACUGGUUUGAGAGGACGACCCGCAACAAUGGGAUUGAGACACGGCCCAAACUCCUACGGGAGGCAGCAGUGGGGAAUUUUGGACAAUGGGGGAAACCCUGAUCCAGCCAUCCCGCGUGUGCGAUGAAGGCCUUCGGGUUGUAAAGCACUUUUGGCAGGAAAGCGGUACCUGCAGAAUAAGCACCGGCUAACUACGUGCCAGCCGCCGCGGUAAUUC
rnacentral:rRNA from 1 species